CUGUACUCAGCCUUCCUUCCGCUGAACUCACAGAGAGGAAAUUGAUAUCGCCAUCAAACCCCCGCUGGCUGUAGAGCUGGUAAAGCUCCUGGAAGCUGGCUUCGUUCUCCAGGCUGAAGACCAAGAUCACUGCGUCAACCCAGCUGGUGAACUGAAGGGAGGGAACAAGAUGAUGGAUGAUGAAUGAUCAAGUCUGCAGCGCUGACUUGCCACUUUUUAGACUACCCAGAAUGCCCUGAGAGAAGGAGGAAGGAAAUAAAACACCAUGAAGCUCAUUCAGAGGGAGCGUGCGUGCACAG